GAUGAACGCUAGCGACAGGCUUAACACAUGCAAGUCGAGGGGCAGCACGGGAGUAGCAAUACAACUGGUGGCGACCGGCGCACGGGUGAGUAACGCGUAUGCAACCUACCUAUCUGAGGGGAAUAACCCGGCGAAAGUCGGACUAAUACCGCAUAAAACAGGGGCACCGCAUGGUGAUAUUUGUUAAAGAAAUUCGCUGAUAGAUGGGCAUGCGUUCCAUUAGGUAGUUGGUGAGGUAACGGCUCACCAAGCCGACGAUGGAUAGGGGAACUGAGUGGUUGGUCCCCCACACUGGUACUGAGACACGGACCAGACUCCUACGGGAGGCAGCAGUGAGGAAUAUUGGUCAAUGGGCGGGAGCCUGAACCAGCCAAGUCGCGUGAAGGAAGAAGGAUCUAUGGUUCGUAAACUUCUUUUGCAGGGGAAUAAAGUGCAGGACGUGUCCUGUUUUGUAUGUACCCUGAGAAUAAGGAUCGGCUAACUCCGUGCCAGCCGCCGCCGUAAAAC
rnacentral:rRNA from 1 species